UACGAAGGGGGCUAGCGUUGCUCGGAAUCACUGGGCGUAAAGCGCACGUAGGCGGCUUUCUAAGUCAGGGGUGAAAUCCUGGAGCUCAACUCCAGAACUGCCUUUGAUACUGGAGAGCUUGAGUCCGGAAGAGGUGAGUGGAACUCCGAGUGUAGAGGUGAAAUUCGUAGAUAUUCGGAAGAACACCAGUGGCGAAGGCGGCUCACUGGCCCGAUACUGACGCUGAGGUGCGAAAGCGUGGGGAGCAAACAGG
rnacentral:rRNA from 1 species